GAAAAACGAGUUUCAAGGGUUGAAAACGAUCCUCUGGUGUUUUGUCUGCUGUUUCACGUGUGAACCAUUUGAAACACAAACUGAUCAACUCCAAUUCUUGAGAGAAUUCUUUCCUUAUUAGCAGGAUUGAUCAGUUUUCUCACGUAUAAAGUACAUCAUUAAUCAAAAAUGAGCAGUUAAUAGAAAUAAUAUGGAAUGAUUGGAGGAUGAUAGAAUGAAAGAAGAGUAGAAAUUAUAUUUCUAGAUUUAUUAAAAAGAGUGUUUGUGUGAAAUUUUUACCUUUAAAAAACUUCUAUUGAAAUGCUGUAAGUUACAAUAUCUUUUCUAAUUAAAUAAUUCUAAUUCCAAUUU